CCUACGGGUGGCUGCAGUGGGGAAUAUUGGGCAAUGGGCGCAAGCCUGAUCCAGCAACGCCGCGUGAAGGAAGAAGGCUUUCGGGUUGUAAACUUCUUUUCUGAGGGACGAAGAAAGUGACGGUAACUCAGGAAUAAGCCACGGCUAACUACGUGCCAGCAGCCGCGGUAAUACGUAGGUGGACAGCGUUCUCCGGAUGUAUUGGGUGUAAAGGGCGGGUAGGCGGGAAGGCAAGUCAGAUGUGAAAACUCAGGGCUCAACCCUGAGACUGCAUUUGAAACUGUUUUUCGUGAGUGCUGGAGAGGCAAGCGGAAUUCCGGGUGUAGCGGUGAAAUGCGUAGAUAUACGGAGGAACACCAGUGGCGAAGGCGGAUAACUGGGCUUUAACUGACGCUGAGGCUCGAAAGUGUGGGGAGCAAACAGGAGUAGAUACCCCAGUAGUC
rnacentral:rRNA from 1 species